rnacentral:sRNA from 1 species
UUACUCGUAUCGUGGUGUAGCAAGAGG